CUCCCUCCGCUCUGCCCUGUGGCCACCAGCCCCAGAAGACCAGGCCCAGCCAAACAAAGCCCUGCAGCAAUUCGUACCAAGCCCAGGCAUGCCAUUUUCCACAAGGAAGGGAUGAACGAAGGGGCCUUAAAAGGAGCAGUGGGGGGUGCCCCCAACCUCCCCCCAACACAAACACACUGGAUCUGCUUAGGGAUGUUGGAACGCGGCCACCAUGGGGCCUCCGGCUGCAGUGAGGCCCUGCAGGGGUGAGGUGGGGGUGCACAUCUUACAGGGCUUGCUUCUCCCUCCCUUUUUCUCACCCAGGCUGGAGCUGGCAGCCUGCUGAGGCCAGAGCGCUCCCCAGACAUCCAGCUCCCCACCCGCCUGCUCCUGCAGCGACUCCAGGAGACCACGACCAGCCAGAACCACCAGCUGAUCGCGCAGGCGCUGCAGUCUCUGCGCAAGGAGCUGCAGGGGGAAGCGCCUGCCUCGCCCAGCGAAGGGGAGAGGUGGCGUUUGCUCCGAGAGCCUACGCUGACCAGGAAGGAUGGCAGGAACAGGAAGGCCGUGGGGCUGCAUCCUGCAGCUGCAGAAAGGAGACUGGUGAAGCUCACCUGGAAGACAGGCAGCCCCAUUGCUGGCAACGCCAGGGAGGCAGCCUGCCCCCAAAUCCACCGCUGACAGCCCCACGCCGAGAGCAGCUUCAGCCAUGCAAACCUGCUCCGUCCCACGUCAGAGCAGCACCGCCCUGCUGGAGGAGAACACAGCGAGCCCAGCGCAGAGCCAGAGAAGAUCCGGGGGAAGAUCCAGGAUUCAGCGGUUGCUGGAUCAGUUGGCCCCAAGACGGACACUUCUCACCCAGCACAGGCCCCUUUGGGCCAGCUCCUGAACCUCUGGCCACAGUGAAGGAGCCAGAGGUUCCUAGACCCACACGGCCAGGAAGACCCCAGCUCUACACCAAGGACUGGCCUUCCCCCACUGCUGCCUGGCCUGACACUCUGCCUGAUUGGCCCUGGCCUUCUUACUCCACCCCGGCCACCUGUGGGAUAGCUCUGCCGGGAGUUAACCCCCUGCUGGCCGGUGAUCUGUAGCCGUUGGAUGGUGGUCCGCUCCUGUGCGCCCCCAUUCCCCAGUGAGGACCAAGCGGGAUGUGUGCGUGACGGGGACCGAAAUGCAAAGGCCACCUCUCUGAACCAGAGAAAAAGAAGUCUGUUGGUUCCAUGGGGUGUAAUUAACCUGUGGAACUCGCUGCAGGUAUAGAGAAGAGAAUCCAAUGGUUAGAGGUGGGGGGAGCAGUCAGGACUCCUGGGUUCUGUCCCAGCGACCACAGGCAAAUCGCUUCUCCUUGGGUCACAAUUUGCCCUUCUGCCCAAUAAAGGAUAUUAAAC